GAGGAAUAAGCAUCGGCUAACUACGUGCCAGCAGCCGCGGUAAUACGUAGGGUGCAAGCGUUAAUCGGAAUUACUGGGCGUAAAGCGUGCGCAGGCGGUUUUGUAAGUCUGUCGUGAAAUCCCCGGGCUCAACCUGGGAAUUGCGAUGGAGACUGCAAGGCUAGAAUCUGGCAGAGGGGGGUAGAAUUCCACGUGUAGCAGUGAAAUGCGUAGAGAUGUGGAGGAACACCGAUGGCGAAGGCAGCCCCCUGGGUCAAGAUUGACGCUCAUGCACGAAAGCGUGGGGAGCAAACAGGAUUAGAUACCCUGGUAGUCCACGCCCUAAACGAUGUCUACUAGUUGUCGGGUUUUAAUUAACUUGGUAACGCAGCUAACGCGUGAAGUAGACCGCCUGGGGAGUACGGUCGCAAGAUUAAAACUCAAAGGAAUUGACGGGGACCCGCACAAGCGGUGGAUGAUGUGGAUUAAUUCGAUGCAACGCGAAAAACCUUACCUACCCUUGACAUGUACGGAAGCCACGAGAGAUCGAGGUGUGCUCGAAAGAGAGCCGUAACACAGGUGCUGCAUGGCUGUCGUCAGCUCG
rnacentral:rRNA from 1 species